UACGUAGGUGCCGAGCGUUGUCCGGAAUUAUUGGGCGUAAAGGUGCUGUAGGCGGUUUGUCGCGUCUGCCGUGAAAAUUCGAGGCUCAACCUCGAACUUGCGGUGGGUACGGGCAGACUAGAGUGUGGUAGGGGAGACUGGAAUUCCUGGUGUAGCGGUGAAAUGCGCAGAUAUCAGGAGGAACACCUAUGGCGAAGGCAGCUCGCUGGGACGUGACUGACGCUGAGACGCGAAAGCGUGGGAGCAAACAGG
rnacentral:rRNA from 1 species